UACGGGGGGAGCAAGCGUUGUUCGGAUUUACUGGGCGUAAAGGGCGCGUAGGCGGUCGUGACAAGUCACUUGUGAAAUCUCCGGGCUUAACUCGGAACGGUCAAGUGAUACUGUCGGACUAGAGUACAGAAGGGGCAACUGGAAUUCUCGGUGUAGCGGUGAAAUGCGUAGAUAUCGAGAGGAACACCUGCGGCGAAGGCGGCUCGCUGGGCCAUUCCUGACGCUGAGACGCGAAAGCUAGGGGAGCGAACAGG
rnacentral:rRNA from 1 species